rnacentral:rRNA from 1 species
AACGCGAAGAACCUUACCUGGGUUUGACAUGUAACUGCCACUGGUAGAAAUAUUGGGUUCCGUAGCAAUACGGACGGUUACACAGGUGCUGCAUGGCUGUCGUCAGCUCGUGUCGUGAGACGUCGGGUUAAGUCCUUGAACGAGCGCAACCCCUGUGGUUAGUUGCCUAUCGCAAGAUGGCACUCUAAUCAGACUGCCUGGGAAACCAGGAGGAAGGUGGGGAUGACGUCAAGUCCUCAUGGCCCUUAUACCCAGGGCUACACACGUGUUACAAUGGCGAGGAACAAAGGGAUGCAAGACCGCGAGGUGGAGCAAAUCCUCUAAAACUCGUCUAAGUUCAGAUUGUAGUCUGCAACCCGACUACAUGAAGUUGAAAUCGCUAGUAAUCGUAUAUCAGAACGAUACGGUGAAUGCGUUCUCGGACCUUGUACACACCGCACUACUA